UCGUGGUCAUUGCCCUGAGUAGCAUUGCUCUGGCUGCAGAGGACCCUGUGCGGACAGACUCUCCCAGGAACAAUGCUCUGAAGUACAUGGACUACAUCUUCACAGGUGUCUUCACCUUUGAGAUGGUGAUAAAGAUGAUUGACUUGGGACUGCUCCUUCACCCUGGAGCCUACUUCCGGGACCUGUGGAACAUUCUGGACUUCAUUGUGAGGAUCCAAAGGGAAAGACAUCAACACCAUCAAGUCCCUAAGAGUUCUGCGCGUCUUACGGCCCCUCAAGACCAUCAAACGGCUC